UACGUAGGGGGCAAGCGUUAUCCGGAUUUACUGGGUGUAAAGGGAGCGCAGACGGCCAGACAAGUCUGAAGUGAAAAUCCAGCGCUUAACGUUGGAAGUGCUUUGGAAACUGCCGGGCUGGAGUGCAGGAGGGGCAGGCGGAAUUCCUAGUGUAGCGGUGAAAUGCGUAGAUAUUAGGAGGAACACCAGUGGCGAAGGCGGCCUGCUGGACUGCAACUGACGUUGAGGCUCGAAGGCGUGGGGAGCAAACAGG
rnacentral:rRNA from 1 species